GUGUCAGGAAAUCGUCACCCACCAUGAUUGUGCCCACAGAAAGGGACUGAGCUCUGUGCCUACCCUGGGAGGACCUCUGCCCUCCUGAGCUGCCCAACAGGAUGUGCUCACCGGGGGAGGUGGCUGCACUGCACAGACUUCACUGCCACGGUUCCGCCCAAAUAGCCCUAUGCUCACCCCAGAGGGGGUGCCCCAAGCACUGACCCCAUGCAGCCCUGGUGCAGCACAUCACAAGAGGAGCAGCCCAUGGGGAACCUCCACCCAGCAUCUCUCUGUGCCUGCCCGGACAGCAACACUCAAUGUGGCUGUAGCAGCUGUGGUGGCAGCAUGGCGCGAGUGGGGGGCCAUGGCCCUGCCCAUCUCAUCCUCUUCCUCGUACUUACCGCUGUGUGUUCCUGGGAGACCUGUGCUGCUCCAUGGCGAGCACCAGGAGCAGAUGAUGACUUUGGUGCUCCCUAUCCAGAUGAUCAUCUGAAUCCAGAUUUUGUGCUUCAGGGGAAGCCCAGAGCUGUGUCCCAUGUCAUUACUGGACCCCCUUCCAGCCACUGCUGGCUACUGAGGAAGAGGGAAAUCACAACAUGCAGUGGGAACAUUUCUCAUCUGCCCUUGAUUACAGCUGUGUCUGUGGGCAGUGGCUUGUCAAAGUCUCAGCUUAAUCUGGUCCAUGCGACUCAGGGCAAUCCCACAGGUGUGACUGGAGGUGAAGGUGAUCCAGCUUCCCCUCUGACUUUCAGGACUGAAACUCUGUCAGAUCACAUGGAUAUGUCAUGGCUUUUUAGAUCCUUUGACAGCUGA
rnacentral:lncRNA from 1 species